rnacentral:rRNA from 1 species
CGUCUUCAAGAUUAAGCCAUGCAUGUCUAAGUGUAAACCACUGGUGAGCUGCGAACAGCUCAAUAUAUCAGUUAUAAUUUACAUAGAGGUAUCGGAUACUUGGAUAACCUUAGUAACUCUGGGGCUAAUACGUGAGUUGUUCCUUACUGGUUAGGAGGGACGUACUUAUUCGUUAUAGACACCGAUCGAGGGGGUAACCCCCUCGUGGGAGAGUGUUGAGAGUGNUGAAACACAGAUAAGUGNCGAAUCNCUAUGUGGUAUGGNAACGCUAGCGAUGCUCUAUGUAAAUUUCUGUCUCAUCAACUUGAUGGUAGGGUAGUGGCCUACCAUGGUCGUGACGGGUAACGGGGAAUUGGCGUUCGAUUCCGGAGAGGGAGNCUGAGAGACGGCUACCACUCCCAAGGGAGGCAGCAGGCGCGCAACUUACCCAAUCCUAACGUAGGGAGGUAGUGACGAAACAUACCGUUGGCUAGGACUUCGUGCUCUAGGCUAUGGAAUGCAUUCAAUCUGAACCUUUGAAUGAUGAUCGAUUGGAGGGCAAGACUGGUGCCAGCAGCCGCGGUAAUACCAGCUCCAAUAGUGUAUACUAGUGUUGUNGCGGUUAAAACGUUCGUANUCGNAUUAGAUGCUAACAAGCUCCUAUGGAGCUUACUGCUACUGNCUCCAGUCACUGAGGUGUNCUUAGCCUCCGAUGUGGUCUAGGCAGACAAGUUACCAUGACAAAAUCUUAGUGUUCAUAGCANGCACGGCGUNCCCUGGACACAAUAGCAUGGGAUGACACCGAGAGGACNUCGACCUGUUAUGCGUUGGCGGCCAGGAUUGNAGGAAUGAUUAACAGGAGCAGUCGGGGGUAGUCGUAUUCCGCUGCUAGAGAUGAAAUUCAUUGACCAGUGGAGGACGNACCACAGCGGAAGCAUCUACCAAGUAUGUUUCCAUUGAUCAAGAACGAAAGUUGGGGUAGCNAAGACGAUUAGGUACCGUCGUAGUCCCAACCGUAAACGAUACCGACUAGGGGUUGGUAGACGUCUUAUUCGAUAGCUCUAUCAGCACCUUAUGAGAAAUCACAAGUCUUUGGGUUCCGGGGGGAGUACGGUCGCAAGGCUGAAACUUAAAGGAAUUGGCGGAAGGGCACCACAAGGCGUGGAGCUUGCGGCUUAAUUUGACACAACGCAGGAAAACUUACCAGGUCCGUACAUAGGGAUGAUUGACAGAUUGAGAGCUCUUUCUUGAUUCUAUGAGAGGUGGUGCAUGGCCGAUUCUAGUUCGUGGGGUGACCUGUGAGGUUAAUUCCGGUAACGAGCAAGACCCUAGCCUCUAGAGAGUGUUNCGGNUGGAUGUGGUNGNCGAAANCCGCACAUNAUCCUAGAGGGACGCUUGAUGAUAAAUCAAGGGAAGUGUGGGGCAAUAACAGGUCUGUGAUACCCUUAGAUGUCCUGGGCUGCACGCGCGCNACAAUGGUACACACAAUGAGGGAUCUACUAACCCGAGAGGGUUGGGUAUCUUGUAACGUGUAUCGUGAUANAGAUAGACCAUUGNAAUUGUUGGUCUUGAACGAGGAAUGCCUAGUAAGCGCGAGUCAUCAACUCGCGCUGAUUACGUCCCUGCCCUUUGUACACACCGCCCGNCGUUCCUGCCAAUGGGUGGAGUGGUGAGAGAAUCGNNCUAGCCCUGAAGGUUGAGNUAGGAAUUCAUCUCGAGCCGUUUCAUCUAAAGGAAGGAGAAGUCGNAANAA